rnacentral:rRNA from 1 species
AUGGGCGUUCAGCGGUUGCCACCAUGGCUCGCCAAGCGUAUUGUGCAGCGGUGUCGGGCUUGGCUUUGGCGUGGUGAAGGCACCUGCAAUGGGGGGGACUGUUGGGUUGCCUGGUCUAUGGUAUGUCGCCCAAAGAAAUUUGGGGGCUUGGGGGUUAGCGACAUUGAUAAGUUUGCCAGGGCAUUACGGCUUAGAUGGCUUUGGCUAUCCUGGGCAACGCCGGAAAGGGCAUGGUUAGCUCAGAGUCCUUGUGAUGAUCUGGACAGAGCACUCUUUGCUGCAGUCACCGAGAUCAAACUUGGAAAUGGUGAGCGUACCUAUUUCUGGAACAUUGGCUGGCAGGUCAGACUCCAAAAGACAUUGCUCCGUCCUUGUUCAAAAUUGCUUGCCGCAAGAAACGUUCUACCAAAGAGGGCCUAA